CAUCGAAUCCUAUUUCUUUGGAAAUUCCUUGCCACAACAACUCCCUCUUAUCAACAUUCUUGUAGGCGUUUUUAAGCUCUCGCCGUUCAGACAUCAAAGACACCAGCAGCUUCAACUUGCUAUUUGCUUGCUUCAUUUUCAGCUUCUUCUUCUUUGUGUUGAUCUCCAGGUGAACCAAUGAACCAGUGUUUAAUAAAUAAUUUGAACUGUUCUCCGGUCAGUUUUAUAAUGUAAGUUUAUAAAACUGAAAUUAUUCAAUAGUGUUUGGACUGAUCCCUGCUCAGUGCUUGCCUCAGGAUGCCUUGUUAAUAAUCUGACAUGAAAUCCCACCGAAUUACCUGAUAAAAAUAAAAAAAAAGACAUGGCCAGAUGCUGUGGGUUAUUACGUAGGUGAGAGAAAAUUUGGAAAGUUUUGCAUUUAUUAAACCUUAUUCACAAUAAGGAGCCUACAGGUUACAAAACCCAGCUCUUGUACUUGUCAGACAGAUGUUAAAAACUCAACACAUUAAAAAACAAAAACAAAAAAAACAAACAAACAAACAAUUUUUUUUUAAAUGGCUCUUACAAUGAUGUGGACAGGCACACUUCACCCAGGAUUCAAACCCAAGGCAGCAGCAUACCAUUUGAAAACACCAUCGACUCCCCCACACACUUCCUUGUUUGACACAAACAACAUGUGGGUUAUAAUUCGUUAAGGCUUAUCUGAAUCGUUGUCAAGGUUGUUUCAUAGCAACACCUGCAAGUGACCACUAGGUGUCACCGUGGAGACGGGUGUCGGAUUGUUUCGAAGCCUCGAGACAAUAUGGCACAUUUGCUUGUCCUGUUUCAGUGUACCACGAAGCCUCGCUCUGCACACCACUGGUGGACACGGGCGCAGUCGUUUUAUAUCGUCUCUUUUAAAACCUCCAGAUUUUUUCCAGAUGAACUGCAGAAAUUUAGCAGAACGCCAUAUUUUAAUCCACAAACUAAUCAACUUCCCACUGCCGUAGCCUGCUGUACUUCCUGUAUAUCUUGAUUGAUAGAUGCCUCGCCCAAUCAGCGAUUUAUUGAGACUCUGUGGAGUAUUGCCAAGAGGAAAAUGAGAGACACCAGACCCAACAAUACAGACAAGUUGAAGGUCGCUAUCAAAGUAACCUGGGCUUCCAGAACACCUCAGCAGUGCCACAGGCUGAUUCCCUACAUGCCACACCGCACUGAUGCAGUAAUUUUGAUGCAAAAGCAGCCCUGACCAAGUACUGAGUGCAUACAUUAACAUACUUUUCAGGACGUUAUAUUUAUAAUAUAAUACAUUUCUGUAUUAUAAAUGGUUUAUUCUAAUAUUUUGAGAUACUGGAAUUU
ensembl:lncRNA